UAGAACGGAAUGGUGCUUGCACCGAGCUGAGUUGCGAACGGGUGAGUAACGCGUAGGUACUGCCUCUUAGCGGGGGAUAACUAUUGGAAACGAUAGCUAAUACCGCAUAAUCGCAUGAUGAAAGGUGCAAUUGCAUCACUAAGAGAUGGACCUGCGUUGUAUUAGCUAGUUGGUGAGGUAACGGCUCACCAAGGCGACGAUACAUAGCCGACCUGAGAGGGUGAUCGGCCACACUGGGACUGAGACACGGCCCAGACUCCUACGGGAGGCAGCAGUAGGGAAUCUUCGGCAAUGGGGGCAACCCUGACCGAGCAACGCCGCGUGAGUGAAGAAGGUUUUCGGAUCGUAAAGCUCUGUUGUAAGAGAAGAAGAGUGUGAGAGUGGAAAGUUCACACUGUGACGGUAACUUACCAGAAAGGGACGGCUAACUACGUGCCAGCAGCCGCGGUAAUACGUAGGUCCCGAGCGUUAUCCGGAUUUAUUGGGCGUAAAGCGAGCGCAGGCGGUUAGAUAAGUCUGAAGUUAAAGGCUGUGGCUUAACCAUAGUACGCUUUGGAAACUGUUUAACUUGAGUGCAGAAGGGGAGAGUGGAAUUCCAUGUGUAGCGGUGAAAUGCGUAGAUAUAUGGAGGAACACCGGUGGCGAAAGCGGCUCUCUGGUCUGUAACUGACGCUGAGGCUCGAAAGCGUGAGGAGCAAACAGGAUUAGAUACCCUGGUAGUCCACGCCGUAGACGAUGAGUGCUA
rnacentral:rRNA from 1 species